GAUGAACGCUGGCGGCGUGCCUAAUACAUGCAAGUCGAGCGAACAGACGAGGAGCUUGCUCCUCUGACGUUAGCGGCGGACGGGUGAGUAACACGUGGAUAACCUACCUAUAAGACUGGGAUAACUUUGGGAAACCGGAGCUAAUACCGGAUAAUAUAUUGAACCGCAUGGUUCAAUAGUGAAAGACGGUUUUGCUGUCACUUAUAGAUGGAUCCGCGCCGCAUUAGCUAGUUGGUAAGGUAACGGCUUACCAAGGCGACGAUGCGUAGCCGACCUGAGAGGGUGAUCGGCCACACUGGAACUGAGACACGGUCCAGACUCCUACGGGAGGCAGCAGUAGGGAAUCUUCCGCAAUGGGCGAAAGCCUGACGGAGCUACGCCGCGUGAGUGAUGAAGGUCUUCGGAUCGUAAAACUCUGUUAUUAGGGAAGAACAAAUGUGUAAGUAACUAUGCACGUCUUGACGGUACCUAAUCAGAAAGCCACGGCUAACUACGUG
rnacentral:rRNA from 1 species